AGAUUGAACGCUGGCGGCAGGCCUAACACAUGCAAGUCGAGCGGUAGAGAGGUGCUUGCAUCUCUUGAGAGCGGCGGACGGGUGAGUAAUGCCUAGGAAUCUGCCUAGUGGUGGGGGAUAACGUUCGGAAACGGACGCUAAUACCGCAUACGUCCUACGGGAGAAAGCGGGGGACCUUCGGGCCUCGCGCCAUUAGAUGAGCCUAGGUCGGAUUAGCUAGUUGGUGAGGUAAUGGCUCACCAAGGCGACGAUCCGUAACUGGUCUGAGAGGAUGAUCAGUCACACUGGAACUGAGACACGGUCCAGACUCCUACGGGAGGCAGCAGUGGGGAAUAUUGGACAAUGGGCGAAAGCCUGAUCCAGCCAUGCCGCGUGUGUGAAGAAGGUCUUCGGAUUGUAAAGCACUUUAAGUUGGAGAAGGUUGUAACCUAAUACGUUGCAACUUUGACGUUACCGACAGAAUAAGCACCGGCUAACUUCGUGCCAGCAGCCGA
rnacentral:rRNA from 1 species